rnacentral:miRNA from 1 species
UGGCACUUUUCGAAAAUGAACCUUGUUACACCCCCUCUCCACCCCUCUCCCUGGUUAUCAUUCAGACAGCAGGUCCUGUUACUUCCUAGUUGGAAACUCAAGAGACAAUGAGAAGUUUUUGUCUCUUGAGUUUCCAACUAGGAAGUUACAGGACCUGCUGUCUGAAUGAUAACCAGGGAGAGGGGUGGAGAGGGGGUGUAACAAGGUUCAUUUUCGAAAAGGGCC